AGCUGCACAUGUCUAAAGAUUGCAUUAGGUAAAGGUAAAGGUUUCCCCUUGACGUUCAGUCUGGUUGUGACCGACUCUGGAGGUUGGUGCUCAUCUCCAUUUCUAAGCCGUAGAGCCGGCGUUGUCCAGUCAUGUAGCCAGCAUGACUGCAUGGAGUGCCGUUACCUUCCCGCCGGAGCGGUACCUAUUAAUCUACUCACAUUUGCAUGUUUUCAAACUGCUAGGUUGGCAGGAGCUGGGGCUAACAGUGGUCGCUCAUUCCGCUCCCGGGAUUUGAACCUGGGACCUUUCUGUCUGCAAGUUCAGCAGCUCAGCGCUUUAACACACUGCGCCACCACCAGGGGUCCCAAAGAUUGCAUUAUAGCCAGUAAAAUUCGAUUGUUAGUUAGCCUUCUGCACAUGUUUGUAAAAUACUAUAAUUGGAAGUCCACCCCAACAGCAGGUGUGGCAGUACUUUUACUCAGCACGAGCUGAAACUGUCAGCACUAUUUUGUAAAUAGUAAAGUGCUGAAAUCCAAAACUGCUGUCCGUCUCUUCAUCAGCUGCGUCCAAAUGAACUUGACAGGCAGAUUUCCCCAACAAAGGUGCUAAAUUAAGAAAUCGAGGGAGACACUAUCAGACUUGCACUUGGGCUCUCUUUGUUUAUCUUUCAAAUGCUGAGAAAACCUUAAUUGUCUUUCCUUAGCACUAUUUCUCUGUAACUGGAGACACUGAGUUAUUGGCAACAACCCAGCCUCUUCCCCCUCCCUUGUCUCUUAUUUGGGGUCAGGAAGAGCCUCUGGCAGUGUUUCAUGGGAAACAUUCUCAUUCAAAGCAGAUCUGUCUGUGAAGCAAUUCCCAUCACCCUGAGAAGAGCUACUUUCUGCCUGAGGCAUUACAGGAGUGGUGGACUCCAAUUCUGGCUCCAAUUUAGAAGCUCAAGGCCCCACCACCAGAGUCCCCCUCCUCCUCAGAUCAUGCCUCAACAUCAAGGGAAGAAGAAAAGAAAAAGAAAAGAGAGAGGGAAAUCGAGGAAGGAAAGCAAGACCCAUAAAAAGAAUCUGCCUUCUGCUGCUAAAGCAUUGCUAUGGAUACAUUGUGAGGUAAGCCUUCUCAGAGCUGAUGAAGGGAGAAAACAGGCAGGCAGUGGCCCCUCCAACAGACACCUGGGCAAUGUUGGUAUAAGAACAAAAUAGAAAAAGGCCGAAAAAGGAUUGGUUGGUGGAUCUAUUGCCAUGUGAACAUCAAAUCCAGCCUCACUUUUAUGACCACCAUAUGUUUGGUGGGAAUACUCCCUUUGUCAGGAUAUUGGCUCCCAUUUAAUCUACAGUAGCUGCAGGACAAGUCACCAUACAACUGAGAAUGGAUUUGCUAUCCUCAAGCAGUUUAGUUAACUCCUCCCUUUCUUUUCCACUGCAUGUUGAAAUUAGUUUUUGUGCUAACCUUAUGCAGAUUAGAAGCUGGGCACUAGUAGAGCCAGAAUGACAUCGUGGAUUGAAUGUUGGACUAUGACUCUGCAGACCAGGUUUCAAAUCCCUGCCCAGCUGUGGAAAUUGACUAGGUGACUUCAGGUACAACACUGACCUCCGUUUUGCUCAGUCUUCUUAAUUGUGAUGAAGAGCCCUGUUCAUCAAAUAUCUUCUUCACUUCCAGACAUCUUGAGAAAGCACAAUGAAACAGGACAAUUAAAAGAACACAUGGCAACCAACACCCUUCUGAUUAAAAGUGGGGUGGCAUGCUGGAAAAAGCACUCUGAUUUGCGAAAAGGACUAAAUAAGACUGCAGGACAAUAACAUUUUCACACAUUAUUAUUUUUGCUCUUGAUGAGAAGAUUGGAUAUGCUAGUCUCCUCCCUGAAAUAACUGCCUAUCAAACAAUGAUUUUGCUUAAUCUUCCACUUCAAUAUUCUGGGGAAUCAACUUGAGUACUGGAAGUCAACAGUGUCAAUUUAUCGCUUGGCUUUUAGAAUCUAGAGCUCAGAAAAGUUACUUUUAAAACUCCUAUCUCUCAGACUCCCCACACCACCAGGCAACUGCACUUUCAAAAGUAAUGUCAAGAUUGGGAAGACUUUGCCUACAGCCCAGAUUUGUGCCACUAAAUAAACAUCUCCUAUGUA